UGGGGAAUUUUGGACAAUGGGCGAAAGCCUGAUCCAGCAAUGCCGCGUGUGUGAAGAAGGCCUUCGGGUUGUAAAGCACUUUUGUCCGGAAAGAAAUCCUUGGCUCUAAUACAGUCGGGGGAUGACGGUACCGGAAGAAUAAGCACCGGCUAACUACGUGCCAGCAGCCGCGGUAAUACGUAGGGUGCAAGCGUUAAUCGGAAUUACUGGGCGUAAAGCGUGCGCAGGCGGUUUGCUAAGACCGAUGUGAAAUCCCCGGGCUCAACCUGGGAACUGCAUUGGUGACUGGCAGGCUAGAGUAUGGCAGAGGGGGGUAGAAUUCCACGUGUAGCAGUGAAAUGCGUAGAGAUGCGGAGGAAUACCGAUGGCGAAGGCAGCCCCCUGGGCCAAUACUGACGCUCAUGCACGAAAGCGUGGGGAGCAAACAGGAUUAGAUACCCUGGUAGUCCACGCCCUAAAACGAUGUCAACUAGUUGUUGGGGAUUCAUUUCCUUAGUAACGUAGCUAACGCGUGAAGUUGACCGCCUGGGGAGUACGGUCGCAAGAUUAAAACUCAAAGGAAUUGACGGGGUCAUAGCUGUUUCCU
rnacentral:rRNA from 1 species